AUUAAAAAAUUUACCAGCACAAAAUCAAACGGUUGUUGGGAUUCGAAAGAAUUAUCUAAUUCACCUUUCUAUUCAGAUAUGAAAUAAAAGAUAAUACAAGGACUGAAGGUCCACGAAUUACAACUUUCUAGUAGAAUGUGAUUAAACUAAAGUAAAGCGCAACACUAGUGAAGUGGUAAGAAACCAAAUCGGAUAUGUGUGGGGUGAAAGGAGAAUCUGCCGCUGAUCAUAUCACAAGCGAGGCAGCAAACAGAAAAUAGGUCUUCUUGCCAUAUACUCGGAGAGCCCCUUGAGAUGCUGCAAUACAAUCAGCUUUCAAUGCAACCAAGUAAAGACCAAAAUGAAUAACCAAAAAUACUUCUUCCUACAUAGCAGACUCAUUUCCCAGCUGUUUAAUGAAGAAUUCCAGUCAACACUUUUAAUCGAUCUUUACGGAUGAGAAGAGGUAAUGAACAAAGUAGAAAGACAUGAGAAAGCCAAUUGUGCCAGUUGACAACAUGAUUGCAGUUGCCAUGAUCAAUGAAUAACCAAGGUAAAGGAUAGCCGACACAGGCCCACUCAAACUCUGCAGGUCAAAUACCAAGUAAUUGAUGGAGUACAGGAACACAUAAAGGGAAACAGAACCUGAAGCAAAGAAAGCCUUCCACCACCACCUCCAAUCCUCCACACAAAGAUGCAUGUAGGUGAGAACCACUGAAACUUCAGCACAAACAAUAACCAACAACAGAAGCACUAUAAGCAGGAAACCAAAGACAUAAUAGAACCUCCCAAGCCAGAUGCUAGAAAGGAUGAAGAAAAGUUCAAUGAAGAGGGUUCCAAAUGGAAGUGUCCCAGCACCAAGAACAAGAAGCCAUGAUGGAUAUUUGCGCGCAGGAAUUUCCCUUGGAAUCUGGUUGGUUCUCACAGGAUAUUGAAUUGCCUCAGCUCGUGUGCCUAAGAACCCUCCGAGAAGAGUGAGAGGCACUGAAAUGCAGAACCAGAGAGACAAGAGUACAAAAAACAAGGAAAUGGGAAGAGCACCAGUACUAUUGCUGCCCCAUAGAAUGAAGUUCAGUACCGUAAGAAUAAGAAAGA